rnacentral:lncRNA from 1 species
UUUCUUAUAUAUAUAUAUAUACCUGAGUAAAAGAAACACCUCAUGUGUCUACUUAACCUAUAUCUCUUAUAAAGAUAAACCUUACUAGCUAUUUCUUUUGCUAUACAAAGUGUCCACAUCAACAUUGACUAACAUCCCACUAGCACAUAACACAUUAAACUAUUUGCAAUGCAAAGUGUCCACAUCAACAUUCACUAACACAUGAAACUAACACAUAUUAUUAUGUCUUUAUUCAAGCUAUUCACAUUAGCAAACCAAAUCAUUUAUUAACAUAUAUGCUGCAUUACUAACAUCAUAUAUAUACAUUUAUGAUUCUUAGUGAUUAACAUUCUAACAUAUUUAUAUUUUUUUUUAUACCCGCGUUAACAGAGAGUCCUCCUAGUUAUAUAUAUGUUCUGAUGAUGAUCAUUCAACUAUCACACUAGUCCUAACAAAUCCAGAUGCAUGCCAGCAUUAUUGCGUGGUCUAAAAAGCAAAGAAAAAAGUCUACAUAACUCCUCAAACUAUCUAGGGUGGAAAUACUUCAUCCCCAAACUUUAACCCUGAACUUUCAAAACUGGUCAAAUAACCCCCUAGAGUGGUUUUAAAGGAUGGUUUUGUCUUUUUCAUUUUUAUUUAUUUCCGCUGAAUCUUUGAAAAAUCAUAAUAAAUCAUAAAAAAAUCAUAAAAUAAAAAAAAUCAAUUUUGUUGGACUCUUGAUGAGUAGAUCUACAC